UACGUAGGGUCCGAGCGUUAUCCGGAAUUAUUGGGCGUAAAGGGCUCGUAGGCGGUUUGUCGCGUCGGGAGUGAAAACCCCGGGCUUAACUCGGUGCUUGCUUCCGAUACGGGCAGACUGGAGGUAUGCAGGGGAGAACGGAAUUCCUGGUGUAGCGGUGAAAUGCGCAGAUAUCAGGAGGAACACCGGUGGCGAAGGCGGUUCUCUGGGCAUUCCCUGACGCUGAGGAGCGAAAGUGUGGGGAGCGAACAGG
rnacentral:rRNA from 1 species